rnacentral:rRNA from 1 species
GACGAAGGGGGCAAGCGUUGUUCGGAAUUACUGGGCGUAAAGAGCGCGCAGGCGGUCGUUCAAGUCGAGUGUGAAAGCCCCCGGCUCAACUGGGGAGGGUCACUCGAUACUGAUCGACUCGAAGGCAGGAGAGGGAAGUGGAAUUCCCGGUGUAGUGGUGAAAUGCGUAGAUAUCGGGAGGAACACCAGUGGCGGAGGCGACUUCCUGGCCUGUUCUUGACGCUGAGGCGCGAAAGCUAGGGGAGCAAACGGG